AAUAUUGGACAAUGGGGGCAACCCUGAUCCCGCCAUGCCGCGUGUGUGAAGAAGGUCUUCGGAUUGUAAAGCACUUUAAGUUGGGAGGAAGGGCUUUAGGCUAAUACCCUGAAGUUUUGACGUUACCAACAGAAUAAGCACCUGCUACCUCUGUGCCAGCAGCCGCGGUAAUACCGAGGGUGCAAGCGUUACGCGGAAUUAUCGGGCGUAAAGCGCGCGUAGGUGGUUCAGUAAGAUGGGUGUGAAAGCCCCGGGCUUAACCUGGGAACUGCUUUCAUAACUGCUGAGCUAGAGUACGGUAGAGGGUAGUGGAAUUUCCUGUGUAGCGGUGAAAUGCGUAGAUAUAGGAAGGAACACCAGUGGCGAAGGCGACUACCUGGACUGAUACUGACACUGAGGUGCGAAAGCGUGGGGAGCAAAC
rnacentral:rRNA from 1 species